rnacentral:lncRNA from 1 species
GGACAAUAUGUCAAAUGAAUACAUGAAACGGAUGUUAUUGCCAGAAAUAGAAUAGAAAGCCAAUCCAAAAGUCCGACGCGAUAACAACAGUUUAGACGGUUCGACAUAACCUGACGUGCCAGAGAACCUCAUCGAGCGCCAAUAUCUGCUUCGGCAAGCUUUCUACACUAGACGCUCUUCCAAUUAAUAAAAAAUAAGUCCUUGGACUGUGGUCAUGUUGAGACAUCGCCUUGAGCAAAUCCCGCAGUAUUUAUUUCCUUUUAAGCUUGGUACUUAUUCCAUCAUUCUCUUUUGUCGAACUUCUAAUUUACGGGGACGUAAACAAACCAACACCGGCUGUCAAGCUACGGUAAGGGACAAACAACCUUAAAGAUAUACUACAUCUCCGCCAAUAUAUACACAUAUUUACGAUGGGCUUCUUUCCAAAUACACUCACAAAAGUUUAAAUCCGCCUGGGGCUACAGAAGAAGGCACUUGCCCGAAGUGCCACUUAGUGGCACAGAACACGGAACCAUGUGGUUGGGAAGCAAACUUCUUACCACAUAGCCACGCCUGAAAAUUCACAAAAUGAAAACUUUAAAACGUGCUGUCUCGACAAGGUAUUUUCAUUUUGAUUACAAAAAAAAUAUUGACCUAGGAUCUCAAACCACACAGGUACCAGCCACAAGUUUAAGAGAAAGAGAGUCGAUUAAACUGACUCCAGUACUUGACUGAUACUUUAUUUUAUCGAUCUCGAAAAGGUGAAAGGGAAGUUUGAUCUCGGUGGGAUUUGAACUCAGAAUUUGAAGAACUGAAAAAUAUUACAAAACAUUUUGGCUGUCGUCCUAACGGUUUUGCCAAUCUACAACCUUUCAUUUUUAACAACUUAUGUGAAUGCACUUCCAACUGAAACUUGAAAAUAGGUCGUGAAUUUCAUUUCCUAUGGAUUGGCUCUUAUUUUUCUUGAAGUGUGUUUUUAGGCUCUUUACAAGAUGUAGGAGUUCAAUUUGGCUCAUCUCAAAGUGAAUCUGUCUACCGUAAACUAAAGAAAAUAAAUUGUUACAAAGCAAGUACUUAGAAUGCAAGCAGUUGGUGUUGUUCAGUUUCUAAUUUUUUUUUCCUCGUAGAGGAUUUUAAAAAAUAUCACAGCCAUCGCUUAUAAAUAAAUCAUGUAAUUCAUUUUCAUUUGA